GGGCGGCGUUUCGGUUCUCCCAGCCUGACGGUCUUGAAAACCGUCGUGAGGUGAUCCCUCACCGUGGGUUCGAAUCCCACCGCCUCCG
rnacentral:tRNA from 1 species